rnacentral:misc_RNA from 1 species
AACUGCAUUACGAUCCGCAAGGGACCACGGAGCAUCUUGGGGAUGCGUUGGGCGUCGUGUCGGCCCGCAUCUCCGCCGACCUGAUGCGCUUCAAAAAAUUCAUCGAGAAGCGGCGGCUGCCGACCGGCGGCUGGCGGGGCGAGAUUCACGGCAAAGAAGUCCGCCCGGCAGGAAGGCUUGAAUGACGAGCGCUUUACCGUGCGCGGACACCGUUGGCCUCUACCCGAGGCCAAGCUGGCAUUGUGUGUCCGCGCACGACUGGGACGCGGACUACAGCCGCUGAGUUCCCAGAGAGAGACAGAUAGCAUGAUCAGAAACUUGAGAGAUCGGGUGAAAUGGGUGACAGGACUGGGCCUCCUGACACUGGGGCUGGCCGGGUGUACCACCAACCACCAGGAACGCGCUCCCGGCACGGCGGUUCACGACGCCGCCCUUUCCAAACGGGUAGCCGGGGCCCUCAGGCAGGACCCCGAGUACAGAUUUGAUGACGUGCGGGUGAACAUCCACCAGAGGACCGCCCAACUCGGCGGAUUUGUCGAUACACCCCGGCAUAGAGAACGAGCCGAAGAGGUCGCCGCGCAGGUUCCCGGCGUGGAAAACAUCAUUAACAACAUCACUUUAAAGGAGGAACCAAACGGACCUGAAGGACCGCCAGCGCGCACUUCCGCACUCCGGAGGUGACCGGAAAAACCAUUUCAACAGAUAAAGAGAAAGGAUAUUUAUGAAAGUCUC